ensembl:snRNA U6 U6 spliceosomal RNA
GUUCUCGCUUUGGCAGCACAAGGACUAAAAUGGGAAUGAUACAGAGAAAAUUAGCACGGCCCCAGUGCAAGGAUGACAUGCAAAUUCAUGAAGCAUUCCAUAUUUUA